rnacentral:lncRNA from 10 species
CCUGCCCUGCCAAUCACAUUCUAGGCUGGAAGAAGGAUUCUGGGUCAGGAAGGCAGUAGCGUAUUUAGACUCGCCAGAGUGGAGAGCCAAGCAGCAAGGCGACUCUGGAGGACUACACGACUUUGAGCAACCUAUUUCAUUUCAUCUAGAAUUCAUGGACCAUAAGGGCUCCCGAAGAAAAGUCAGAAGCAACAUUGCUUAGUAUAUGGCAGAGAUCAAACUAUGGCCGAGGACUAGCUUGGGACUGCCUGUGCUUCUCAUUCCUGUCUGAGGAAAGGUGGGGAGGGCUCAGAAGUGCACAGAGAGAAGGUGUUCGAUAUUGUAUAAUGUUUGACCUGCAGCCAUCUGUUCACUCAACUUAUGCAUUUACUUUUGUUCAAGCAACAAAUAUCUCUGGCUUCCCUACUAUGCCAGACACUCUCCUAUAUACAGAGGUGGAGAAAAUAAACUCUGUUCUCAUGGAGUUAACAGUGUGAAGGGAGAGAAACAACAAGGAAUAAAUGAAUAAAUAAAAUGCAUUUGUGGCAAAUGCUAUGAAAGGAAAAAUAGUACCUUGUGAAAUGAAGCUCUUCGAUGAAAACUUCUAAUGCAGGGGUGGAUGGUACUGGCAUGUAAUCCCCACAUUUUUUUUUUUUUUUUUGGUUGAGAACAAUAUUUCCACCACUCAGCGACAACCCUGAACUCCAACAAACCCUGUAGAAACAAAACAAGAAGAGGGCAAAAUCAAGUUUGUCACAGGGAUACACAUAGACGUCUCACAGCGGGAAUUUAAAACCCUGGUUUCUCAGGGGACUGUCUUUAUAUUCACCACCAGAGCACCUGAUGGGGUAAAACAAAGUAGGUGAUAACUAUCAUGGAUUUGGCACAACUGGGGACAGUGAUAGAGUCUGCACUUGUCAACAAGAUAGACAAGAAAACUGGGCACGAUUUUGACCAAAGAGAGCUAAGAAGGGCGAGUUACAGGGAUCAGAAAAACAGGGUAAUGAUGACCAAGUGCACGUGUCUGUAAUGUUUUCUUAUUCCCUGGUAACCUUAUGACAUAGUUCUAAUUCAACCACAAAUAUAACAGAGGAGCAUGAGCCUAUAAUAUGUCACGUAUUUUAUUAUGUUUUAUUAUAUGCCACAUUAAGUCUGUAUUUGUGGCCAAAAACAUAAAAUAGCACUGCUUUUAGACACAGCAAGAUUAUAUACUCCUACAGGAAAAGAGCUUUGGAAAGUUCAUCUAAUCUUCUUUGUUUUCCAAUUUGAAGCAGAGAUGAAUAACUGAAAGCUUUCAAUGUGGACAUCAGUGAGGACAUUUCUCCAGGACCUUUGCCUGAAAGACUUACCUGGGAUUCCUAGAGUUUUAAUUAUUCAUUCUUAGUAGGCCAUAGGGGUCAGCCUGUAUAGAGAAUCUGAAAACCAGAACAAGAUUAGAAGGUGGUAUCAGACUACUGUAUAUAGCAGAGUUUCCACAGUCAAACAUAAGGCUUGAAAUCCAAGCUUAACUAAUUGCUAUGUGAACUUUGGCCAAUUACUCAAGCACUAUAUUAGUCAGGACCUAACUGGGAUUCAGAUGCCACAUGAAUAUUUAAGCAGAAUGACUUUAAUGCAGAAUUUGCACAGGUGAUGAACCAGCUUAGAAGCCUAAUAGAAGAUAGCAAUUCUGACAUUAGCAAUAGCACGAGCCACCACUCCCUUAGACCAGAGGGAAAAGAGGGAGGGAGUGGUGAUGCUACAGCUAGAAGACUAGGAUUAUUUCAGAAGCUGGCUCCAUGGCAGGUCUCAUUGUCAGAAGCUGAAACCAAAGAAGAGAUGUAGACGCUGCAAGGGACACAGACAGAAACAAGGGGGUAGAAAGAUCUGCCUCCCUUCUAUUGGCUACCCCAAUCUCUCUUCAGUGUCUGCAAAUGACCAAAUCAAGCCAGAAAUUCACUGACACAGAAGCCUGGAGAACACAGGCUGAAGGUGUCAGCUGUCCUGCAAUAUAGAGCUCAGCUCAAUGUGGGCACGUGAUCCUGAGGUUGUUAUUCUUAAAACCGUCAUUGUCAAGAAAUAUUUAAAAUGUAGUCAGUGGUAUGCUGAUAAAUGUAUAACAAUUGACUUUCCUUGGGGAGAGCCCUGACUUGCGUAGCUGGUUCCUAUGGUGUGGAUACUUUCAUCAUGUCUAAUUUCCAACUGCCUAUGUGAAGGCACUGAACAUGGCACUGUGAAGAUUGGCUCAUACACGUGGGUAUAAGUUGGCUCUAGAACAACACUGAAAGUAGGCAUAUAAAGAAAAUAGCAGAAAUACUCUACAGAUCCAGUAGAAAAAAAAAAUGCCACUACUAGUGGUUGAAAAUUGCAGGGAAAUAGGGUUUGGGGCUCUCUUUAACAAAAACUACUAAAAUUUGGACUAUCCCCUUGUGAGUCCAUAUAUUCUUCACAAUUGGGGCCACAUUCACUAGAUACCUGGUAAUUCUUUACAGAUAUUUUUUACAAACUCUGUAUUGCACAGCCUUGAUGGUUCAUGUGUUUGCUAUCCAGAGAGGAAUCCCAAACUUCUAUAUUGUUUUGGAGCCAGGUUGUAAUCCCUUGUCUAUAUAACUUUUCCUGACAUUGGAGAGGUGACUCUCAAUAGGAAUUGUUUUGCAUCUCAUUUUUGAUGCUAUCUUGAUGCUUCCUCUUUUCCUUCCUUCAGUUUAUAUCAGACUGUUUCUCCCCGCAUGUCUCAUUACCUUUGUCAUCUUGUCAUUGAACAAAGCAAGGGGAAACUAACAUAGCUCUUCAGAGUGCUUAUGCUUGGGUUUCUGAUUUCUGACUCUAUGGUUAUGUGAAAGCCCUACAGCCAUCAAUAGACUAGUCAAUUCUUCUAAGGAGCAAUCCACAGACUUGUUGAAUUACUAUUGCUUUCGACAAUUUAGGAGGCAAUCUCUUGGGCACACAUCAAUCCUUGUACCUUAGUGUGGGAUUGGCAAGUCUGAAAACAUGCUAGAGAAUGCACACCUGGUAUCUGGAAAUACAAAUAUUCUAAUAUAUGGUCAAAUUUAUAUGAGUAAAAUAUCCUUAGCAAAAUGUGUCUCUUUUAUUUUCUCUGUUUUACAUAUUGUGUUGGAAUCAAUCAAGAGUUAGCCCAUUUAU